UACGUAGGGGGCAAGCGUUGUCCGGAAUCAUUGGGCGUAAAGCGCGCGUAGGCGGCUCGAUCAGUCUGCUGUGAAAGUCAAAGGCUCAACCUUUGAAUGCCGGUGGAUACUGUCGAGCUAGAGUCCGGAAGAGGCGAGUGGAAUUCCUGGUGUAGCGGUGGAAUGCGCAGAUAUCAGGAAGAACACCCGUGGCUAAGGCGGCUCUCUAGUACGGUACUGACGCUGAGACGCGAAAGCGUGGGGAGCGAACAGG
rnacentral:rRNA from 1 species